rnacentral:rRNA from 1 species
GCAUAGAUAAUGUGCCCCUUAGUUCGGGAUAGCCACUGGUAACGGUGAUUAAUACCGGAUACUCCUUCUUGUUAUAAGACAAGUCGGGAAAGUUUUUCGCUAAGGGAUCAGUCUAUGUUCCAUCAGCUUGUUGGUGAGGUAAUGGCUCACCAAGGCUAUGACGGAUAUCUGGUUUGAGAGGAUGAUCAGACACACUGGAACUGAGACACGGUCCAGACUCCUACGGGAGGCAGCAGUGAGGAAUAUUGCACAAUGGAGGAAACUCUGAUGCAGCAACGCCGCGUGGAGGAUGACGCAUUUCGGUGUGUAAACUCCUUUUAUUAGGGAAGAUAAUGACGGUACCUAAUGAAUAAGCACCGGCUAACUCCGUGCCAGCAGCCGCGGUAAUACGGAGGGUGCAAGCGUUACUCGGAAUCACUGGGCGUAAAGGGUGCGUAGGCUGGCUUUUAAGUCAGAUGUGAAAUCCAAUGGCUCAACCAUUGAACUGCAUUUGAAACUGAAAGCCUAGAGUUCAGAAGGGGCAGAUGGAAUUAGUGGUGUAGGGGUAAAAUCCGUAGAUAUCACUAGGAAUAUCAAAAGCGAAGGCGAUCUGCUGGGAUG